rnacentral:rRNA from 1 species
CGUAGGUGCAGGCGUUAAUCGGAAUUACUGGGCGUAAAGCGUGCGCAGGCGGCUCCUUAAGUCAGAUGUGAAAGCCCCGGGCUUAACCUGGGAACUGCGUUUGAAACUGGGGAGCUGGAGUGUAGAAGAGGGGGGUGGAAUUCCAGGUGUAGCAGUGAAAUGCGUAGAGAUCUGGAGGAACACCGAUGGCGAAGGCAGCCCCCUGGGCUAACACUGACGCUCAUGCACGAAAGCGUGGGGAGCAAACAGGAUUAGAUACCCUGGUAGCCCACGCCCUAAACGAUGUCAACUGGUUGUCGGGGGAAGUAAUCCCUUGGUAACGAAGCUAACGCGUGAAGUUGACCGCCUGGGGAGUACGGCCGCAAGGCUA